rnacentral:rRNA from 1 species
UACAUGUGGGGCAAGCGUUGUUCGGAAUUACUGGGCAUAAAGGGCGCGUAGGCGGGCCGGCGAGUCGGAGGUGAAAGCCCCCAGCUCAACUGGGGAAGCGCCCCCGAUACUGCCGGCCUUGAGGGGGGUAGGGGCGUGCGGAACUUCCGGUGGAGCGGUGAAAUGCGUAGAUAUCGGAAGGAACACCGGUGGCGAAGGCGGCACGCUGGGCCCGCCCUGACGCUGAGGCGCGAAAGCCAGGGGAGCGAACGGG